GUCACAAAACAGCCGUCGUCGUAGUGUAGAACACCUCCGGCGUCUAAGCCGUGAACUUCCGCGCGGUGCGAGCGUGCCGACACGACGCGCUCGCCGAGCGCCGCGCCCUCACGGUGCAGCGCGACGCCGCGCGCGGCCGCUGCGUGGCGCUGCGACGGUAUUUGGUACAGAUGCUCCAAGAGCGAUCCGACAACGACGAAGUGCCGCAAAUAGAACCGGAAGAAUCUCACGCCAAGAACGGAAUUAAAAAAAUAAACACAGACAUAUUUCAAUGUCGGAUAGACAAAAUAGUUUCCCAAAGCGUUAACCAUAUAUUCAAAAGUGAUGAGAAGAAAAUUGUUGCUAAAACUAUUUUCAUAGAUGAUGCCGUUAAAGAGGAUUAUUUGGGGGGCUUGAAGGAGGAGGGAGUGUUGAACUUGUCCGUUAAGGAGGGUAGGCGAAGAGGCCACGGGAGGAAACAGUCCGCGCCGAGAAGGAUUGUCUAUGAUAAUGGUGAUGACGGAGUAUUGGACCUGAAAAU